UACGAAGGGUGCAAGCGUUACUCGGAAUUACUGGGCGUAAAGGGUGCGUAGGUGGUUGUUUAAGUCUGUUGUGAAAGCCCCGGGCUCAACCUGGGAAUGGCAAUGGAUACUGGACAGUUAGAGUGCGGUAGAGGGUAGUGGAAUUCCCGGUGUAGCAGUGAAAUGCGUAGAGAUCGGGAGGAACACCAGUGGCGAAGGCGGCUACCUGGACCAGCACUGACACUGAAGCACGAAAGCGUGGGGAGCAAACAGG
rnacentral:rRNA from 1 species